rnacentral:misc_RNA from 1 species
GAAAUGCGAUAAGUAAUGUGAAUUGCAGAAUUCAGUGAAUCAUCGAAUCUUUGAACGCACAUUGCGCCCGCUAGUAUUCUGGCGGGCAUGCCUGUCCGAGCGUCAUUUCAACCAUCAAGCCCCCGGGCUUGUGUUGGGGACCUGCGGCUGCCCGCAGGCCCUGAAAACCAGUGGCGGGCUCGCUGUCACACCGAGCGUAGUAGCAAUCACCUCGCUCAGGGCGUGCUGCGGGUUCCGGCCGUUAAACAGCCUUACAAAACCCAAGGUUGACCUCGGAUCAGGUAGGAAGACCCGCUGAACUUAAGA